rnacentral:rRNA from 1 species
GGGGUUGUGGGACCUUUCAGGAGGAUCUGCCGAUCCUCCAGGGAGUCAGAAAGUCGCGCCAUAGUCGAAGGGCAUUGAAAGGCCCGGCACAGAGGGUGCUACCCCCGUAGACGAAAUGACGUGACCUCCCGAAGGGUAUCCCAAGUAGCACGGGGCCCGUGAAAUCUCGUGUGAAUCUGGAGAGACCACUCUCUAAGCCUAAAUACUCCCUAGUGACCGAUAGCGGACAAGUACCGUGAGGGAAAGGUGAAAAGUACCCCGGGAGGGGAGUGAAAUAGUACCUGAAACCGUGUGCCUACAAUCCGUCGGAGCCUUGUGCCACUUGUUGGUGGGGUGACGGCGUGCCUUUUGAAGAAUGAGCCUGCGAGUUUGCGGUGUGUUGCGAGGUUAACCCGUGUGGGGAAGCCGUAGCGAAAGCGAGUCCGAAUAGGGCGAUUCAGUAGCGCGCUCAAGACCCGAAGCUAAGUGAUCUAUCCAUGGGCAGGUUGAAGCGUCGGUAAGACGACGUGGAGGACCGAACCCACUUAGGUUGAAAACUGAGGGGAUGACCUGUGGAUAGGGGUGAAAGGCCAAUCAAACUGGGAAAUAGCUCGUACUCCCCGAAAUGCUUUUAGGAGCAGCGUGGUGGUUGAGUCUGACAGAGGUAGAGCUACCGAUAGGACUAGGGGGAGUCACAUCCUACCAAAUCCUGACGAACUCCGAAUGCUGCUCAGAUAUACACUGCAGUGAGGGCUUGGGUGCUAAGGUCCAAGUCCAAAAGGGAAACAACCCAGACCAACAGCUAAGGUCCCUAAAUCUAUACUAAGUUGAACUAAGGCGGUUCAGUUGCACAGACAGCCAGGAUGUUGGCUUGGAAGCAGCCAUUCAUUUAAAGAGUGCGUAACAGCUCACUGGUCGAGCGAGAGGGCAUCGAUAAUACGCG